rnacentral:rRNA from 1 species
ACUCCUACGGGAGGCAGCAGUGGGGAAUUUUGGACGAUGGGCGAAAGCCUGAUCCAGCAAUGCCGCGUGAGUGAAGAAGGCCUUCGGGUUGUAAAGCUCUUUUGUCAGGGAAGAAACGGUGAGGGCUAAUAUCCCUUGCUAAUGACGGUACCUGAAGAAUAAGCACCGGCUAACUACGUGCCAGCAGCCGCGGUAACACGUAGGGUGCAAGCGUUAAUCGGAAUUACUGGGCGUAAAGCGUGCGCAGGCGGUUUUGUAAGUCUGAUGUGAAAUCCCCGGGCCCAACCUGGGAAUUGCAUUGGAGACUGCAAGGCUAGAAUCUGGCAGAGGGGGGUAGAAUUCCACGUGUAGCAGUGAAAUGCGUAGAUAUGUGGAGGAACACCGAUGGCGAAGGCAGCCCCCUGGGUCAAGAUUGACGCUCAUGCACGAAAGCGUGGGGAGCAAACAGGAUUAGAUACCCUGGUAGUCCACGCCCUAAACGAUGUCUACUAGUUGUCGGGUCUUAAUUGACUUGGUAACGCAGCUAACGCGUGAAGUAGACCGCCUGGGGAGUACGGUCGCAAGAUUAAAACUGAAAGGAAUUGACGG